rnacentral:rRNA from 1 species
UACAGAGGGCUCAAGCGUUGUUCGGAUUCAUUGGGCGUAAAGGGUGCGUAGGCGGCGCUGUAAGUCGGGUGUGAAAUUUCGGAGCUUAACUCCGAAACUGCAUUCGAUACUGCGGUGCUUGAGGACUGGAGAGGAGACUGGAAUUCAUGGUGUAGCAGUGAAAUGCGUAGAGAUCAUGAGGAAGACCAGUGGCGAAGGCGGGUCUCUGGACAGUUCCUGACGCUGAGGCACGAAGGCCAGGGGAGCAAACGGG